rnacentral:rRNA from 1 species
CCGGCGCACGGGUGAGUAACGCGUAUCCAACCUGCCUCUGACUGAGGGAUAACCCGUCGAAAGUCGGCCUAAUACCUCAUGGCAUCGUCUGCGGGCAUCCAACGACGAUUAAAGAUUUCAUCGGUCAGGGAUGGGGAUGCGUCUGAUUAGCUUGUUGGCGGGGUAACGGCCCACCAAGGCUACGAUCAGUAGGGGUUCUGAGAGGAAGGUCCCCCACAUUGGAACUGAGACACGGUCCAAACUCCUACGGGAGGCAGCAGUG